GGAAGAGGAACGGAAAGGGGAGAGGUGCAUAAUGUAGAUGCAAAUCCUGAUCUUUGCCUCUCAAAUUAUCAGAUGUCACUCUUCACGACUUGUAAAUAAACACACAAUAAAUAUGCCCCACGUUCCGUGCCAGCAUACACUCGCGUCUUAAAAUACCGCAGCUCUGACGACUGAGAUAGUACUGCUCAUCAGAUUUAUGCGUGAGCAAACCCAGUCUAAAUUUGCACCCAGUGAGCCAACUUACGCAAGCCUCCCUGGUCUCCCUCCUGUCUAUACAAUGGCUUAAAAAUCUCACAGUUCUCAAAGCAUCCCUGCUCUCCCCAGAUCCCCACCCCCACACUAUACACUACAACUUCGGCACUAUUCUUGUACCAGCCCCCGUCGUUGUGGCACAAAAAUACCAGCACCUCCAAGAACAGACGCCAAGCCUGUCAGAGCAUCAUCACAUCCCACAGGACAGCUGAGGGGGGAGAGGAGGGAGGAUGGCGUGAAGAAAAGAGGGGAGGAGAGCAGGUGGAAGGAUGAGCACAGCUGCUGUCGAGAGAGAAGAAUCAACAGAGAAAAUACAGACUUUAUACGAGGAAGAGGACACAGUUUACGGUUUUAUCCUGGCAGAUCAGCCGCAAACUGUUUCUCUUUAUCUUGAUAUGAAGGCUCCCGCCUGAGCUGCUGCUCUUCUCGGGAAGUGUGGGCUGUGGUGCCACAAUAUUUACAAGGAUCAUUAGAGAUACCAAAUCAAUCAGAAUAACUUCUAAAAAGGUCUGCUUUUACUACCUUGGCCUGUGUGUUUGGGUUCAUUGUCAAGCUGAAAAAUGAAGGGAUUGCCCAUCAGAUGCUUUCCACAUGUUACUGCAUGGUGGUUCAAAAUAUGACCAUAAUUUUCUGUGUUUAUAAUUCCAUCAGUUUUGUUGAGAUCUUUAACAGCACUAUCUUAAAUGCAGCUCCAAACCAUGACACAGUCUCCACCGUGUUUUAGACAUGGCUGUGUGCUCUGACUGUUGUACCUCUCUCUUGACCUUCUCAGUAUAUACUGAUGGCAACAUGAACCAAAAAUCACUCCAUCAAACCCGCUGCCACUGAUUUUCCGUCCAAUUCUUGUAUAAUGUGGCAUACUUCGACCUUUUCUCCCCGUUUUCCUGUCUUAAGAAUAGUUUCUUUGACAGCCACCCUUCCACUGAGACCAUUUCUGAUGAGGCUUCAGUUAUCAGAAAGUGGUCCUGGGUCAGGUCUUUGCUUGGUUUUUCCCCUCUAGCGCUUAAAGACGUGACCUUCGGUUACUAUUCAUCUCAUGAAUAUAGUUUUAUAGGUCCGAGACUUCUUCUGUGCUCCGCUUGCCGGGUUUCCUCAGAUUUUUUUAAGGCUACACUGAACAGGAUGUCGACAUGCUGAAAAUGUGGGAUCGGAUAUCUGGGGAAGAAUUGCCAUAUAAAGAUAUGAUGACUGUUUUUCCACUGACGAAUAUAUCUGGAUAUAACAUGUAUUUUUAGUUAUUUUACUUAAAUUAUUUACUAUUUUAUGAAUUAUUUUUUCUCUAUUCUUUCUAAUUUUAUCUGCUGUCUUCUAAAUAUGAACUGAAGCAAUAAAUGUAAUAAACUUUAAUCAGUAAAAACAAAUCAUGGUCCCC
ensembl:lncRNA